CCUACGGGAGGCAGCAGUGAGGAAUAUUGGUCAAUGGACGAGAGUCUGAACCAGCCAAGUAGCGUGAAGGAUGACUGCCCUAUGGGUUGUAAACUUCUUUUAUAUGGGAAUAAAAUGUUCCACGUGUGGGAUUUUGUAUGUACCAUAUGAAUAAGGAUCGGCAAACUCCGUGCCAGCAGCCGCGGUAAUACGGAGGAUCCGAGCGUUAUCCGGAUUUAUUGGGUUUAAAGGGAGCGUAGGUGGAUUGUUAAGUCAGUUGUGAAAGUUUGCGGCUCAACCGUAAAAUUGCAGUUGAAACUGGCAGUCUUGAGUACAGUAGAGGUGGGCGGAAUUCGUGGUGUAGCGGUGAAAUGCUUAGAUAUCACGAAGAACUCCGAUUGCGAAGGCAGUUCACUGGACUGCAACUGACACUGAGGCUCGAAAGUGUGGGUAUCAAACAGGAUUAGAUACCCGAGUAGUC
rnacentral:rRNA from 1 species